UCACUGCCCUUCUAUGAAAAAUGUGGCAAAAAAAAUGAUACAUUCAAAUAAAAAGUCAAAUAACAUAUUGAUUACAGCAUUACCAAAGAACAAAACAUAUUAGCAAUAUCAAAAUUCAUCCAAAUUAAGCAAAACUCAUGAAAGAAGUAAAAAAAAUCUUUAAACACUUACGCCUAAUCCCAUUUUGUCUUUUUAAUUUAUUCAAUGUUCAGCAGGGAUUUUCCUAUUCCAGUCCUCUGGAGACAUAUGAAAGCUCCCGCUGUUCACAAACGUGCUCACAAACCUUUAUAUCCCACUUGCUCACCUGCCUGCAGGGGAGGAGAUUUGAGUAAACUUGGACAGGAUUGGCAGAUGUGUUUUUUUUUUUUUAAUUUAUAAUGUAUGAUCUAUUUAACCUUCAUUCCCACAUUUGAACUUUCAAGGACAACCACUAACAAAGGACAACCAAAGUCCUUUUCUGUAAAAGUCUACCUAGUUUUAUGAAGUGCUAUUGCCAAAGAGUCUGUAAAUCAUUUACAAACACAUACACCUAUAUAUUGACUGUACUAUAUUGCUUGUACUUAACUGCUGUUUCCUCUUUAUUUAAACUUUUCUUUAGGAAUAUUACAGAAAACACUUUCCCAUCCCUGGAAACCAUCAACAAAAUCUCACUCCACUAUAAUUAAAGUUGAGGGAAUAGUAAAUCAUGAACGCCUACCUUGGCUCACAGGUCCUAGAUCAUGUUUAGUAAACGGCUGGCUGUUUGUUGUGAGAUGGUGCAGAAUAGCUAAGAUAAGAGCAGUCAUUCUGAUGUACUUCCCAGGAUCCCACGAUUCUCACAUUCUUUUCAGCACAGUAUAAAUUUGGCUGCCAAAACGUCAAUUUGCAUGUGAAUUCACCUGAAACAUCUCUCCCACCAUUUACAAAUAGUGUGUCAUGUUAGAUACCUGACAGACUGUAAGAAACUCUGUAUUACUGAAUUACCUGGUACUGCAAGAACUGAAACACAUACAUAUGAAAGGGAUCUAAACAAUGACCAUUCAGUUGGCUGAAAUGCAGAUUGCAGGUAUAUCAGCUUGUCUUUAACACCGAGAGCAGCUUUUAAAAAUUAUUUCACCUUGUUAAAGAUUAAAAUAGGUAUUGUCCCACAUAGUUACAUUUUAAUAAACGGUAUUUCUUACUCUCAUAAAACUCCAACAUUUAUUAACUUGGAACUGCCUGAGGGAGAGAGUGAGAGCCAUUAUAGUGGAAGAACCAGUUUUAUGCAAGCAAGUGAAACAGACAAGACAAGUAACAAUACACUCGAGCACAAGAAUUUCACUGCAGAUAGGUUAAUAAUAAUGUCGGAUUGCCAGGUAUCUAACUGGUUCCGGAAUAGAACAGUGUAUCCACUCCCCUUAAAAGUGUUUUAAGGGUGUCUUAACAAGUACAUCCACACAUGUAUACAUUUACUAAUCUCAAUUAUGAACAAUGAAUGAAUAAAGAAAACCACACAGACUGAUCUUAUAUGAACUUCGUAACAAUUAAAACAUGCACUGGAUAUUGAAUUUGUUUUCAUAUUACAACUAGUACAAAUGCAAAUCCUGUGACAUUAACCUUUGUAAAUGUUUAUAUGAAUUGAGUAAUGUGCUUUGUUUCAAAUUUCAAGCCAUGAAGAAAGAAACAGCUUUUAGUAUCUCAUUGUUUUGAAUCUUAGGUACAAUCAUCUUUAUGUUUUCGAUUAAUCUAAAUAUUUCACUAAUUUUACCUAAUUAUAAUCUCUUUUUUUUACACUAGGUCUGAUGUGUUACAGCAGGGAAAUCUGCCACAGGACCUUGGAAACUUGCAGUCAUUGAGAUAAUGAGAGACAAGGAUGAACUCCACUUUAUACCAGAAUAUUCUUCAGACAAAUGUGAGGCCUUCUGUCCAGCUUAAGCUGGGGCAAAAUUGGGUCACACAACAGGACAGUGAUCCCAAUCACACCAGCAAAUCGACAUCUGAAUGGCUAAGGAAAAAUCAAGGUGUUGGAAUGUCCAAGUGAAAGCCCAGACCUCAACCCCAUUGAGAUGUUGUGGUGGGAUCUUAAGAGAGCUGUGCAUAAACAAAUGCCCUUAAACAUCAAUAAACUGAAUAAAUUGUAAAGAAGAGUUGGUCAAAUGUCUUCAAAAGGAAGUGAGAGACUGGUAAACUACUAUAAAAAAUGUUUACUUCAAGUCGUUGUUCCUAAAAGUUACUGAAUUUUACUGAAGGUUCCUAUAUGUUUCUGAAUUACAGGGCAUACUUAUUUUUCCCACCCGGUUUCUGAAUGUUGAUUUACUUUUUGGGAA